CGGGGUGGAGUAAUGUCUGGGAAACUGCCUGAUGGAGGGGGGUAACUACUGGAAACGGUAGCUAAUACCGCAUAACGUCGCAAGACCAAAGAGGGGGACCUUCGGGCCUCUUGCCAUCGGAUGUGCCCAGAUGGGAUUAGCUAGUAGGUGGGGUAACGGCUCACCUAGGCGACGAUCCCUAGCUGGUCUGAGAGGAUGACCAGCCACACUGGAGCUGAGACACGGUCCAG
rnacentral:rRNA from 1 species